GGUUAAGCGACUAAGCGUACACGGUGGAUGCCCUGGCAGUCAGAGGCGAUGAAGGACGUGCUAAUCUGCGAAAAGCGUCGGUAAGGUGAUAUGAACCGUUAUAACCGGCGAUGUCCGAAUGGGGAAACCCAGUGUGUUUCGACACACUAUCAUUAACUGAAUUCAUAGGUUAAUGAGGCGAACCGGGGGAACUGAAACAUCUAAGUACCCCGAGGAAAAGAAAUCAACCGAGAUUCCCCCAGUAGCGGCGAGCGAACGGGGAGGAGCCCAGAGCCUGAAUCAGUGUGUGUGUUAGUGGAAGCGUCUGGAAAGGCGCGCGAUACAGGGUGACAGCCCCGUACACAAAAAUGCACAUGCUGUGAGCUCGAUGAGUAGGGCGGGACACGUGGUAUCCUGUCUGAAUAUGGGGGGACCAUCCUCCAAGGCUAAAUACUCCUGACUGACCGAUAGUGAACCAGUACCGUGAGGGAAAGGCGAAAAGAACCCCGGCGAGGGGAGUGAAAAAGAACCUGAAACCGUGUACGUACAAGCAGUGGGAGCCUCUUUAUGGGGUGACUGCGUACCUUUUGUAUAAUGGGUCAGCGACUUAUAUUCUGUAGCAAGGUUAACCGAAUAGGGGAGCCGGAGGGAAACCGAGUCUUAACUGGGCGUUAAGUUGCAGGGUAUAGACCCGAAACCCGGUGAUCUAGCCAUGGGCAGGUUGAAGGUUGGGUAACACUAACUGGAGGACCGAACCGACUAAUGUUGAAAAAUUAGCGGAUGACUUGUGGCUGGGGGUGAAAGGCCAAUCAAACCGGGAGAUAGCUGGUUCUCCCCGAAAGCUAUUUAGGUAGCGCCUCGUGAAUUCAUCUCCGGGGGUAGAGCACUGUUUCGGCAAGGGGGUCAUCCCGACUUACCAACCCGAUGCAAACUGCGAAUACCGGAGAAUGUUAUCACGGGAGACACACGGCGGGUGCUAACGUCCGUCGUGAAGAGGGAAACAACCCAGACCGCCAGCUAAGGUCCCAAAGUCAUGGUUAAGUGGGAAACGAUGUGGGAAGGCCCAGACAGCCAGGAUGUUGGCUUAGAAGCAGCCAUCAUUUAAAGAAAGCGUAAUAGCUCACUGGUCGAGUCGGCCUGCGCGGAAGAUGUAACGGGGCUAAACCAUGCACCGAAGCUGCGGCAGCGACGCUGAUGCGUUGUUGGGUAGGGGAGCGUUCUGUAAGCCUGUGAAGGUGUGCUGUGAGGCAUGCUGGAGGUAUCAGAAGUGCGAAUGCUGACAUAAGUAA
rnacentral:rRNA from 1 species